ensembl:snoRNA U3 Small nucleolar RNA U3
AAGACUAUACUUUCAGGGAUCAUUUCUAUAGUAUGUUACUAGAAAGCCAAUCUAAGCAGGGAGUUUGGUUAUGAACAGUGGCAGUUAG